rnacentral:rRNA from 1 species
UACAGAGGAUGCAAGCGUUAUCCGGAAUGAUUGGGCGUAAAGCGUCUGUAGGUGGCUUUUUAAGUCCGCCGUCAAAUCCCAGGGCUCAACUCUGGACAGGCGGUGGAAACUACCAAGCUGGAGUACGGUAGGGGCAGAGGGAAUUUCCGGUGGAGCGGUGAAAUGCGUAGAGAUCGGAAGGAACACCGAUGGCGAAAGCAGCGUGCUGGACCUUUUCUGACGCUGAGGCGCGAAAGCCAGGGGAGCAAACGGG